UACGAAGGGGGCUAGCGUUGCUCGGAAUCACUGGGCGUAAAGCGCACGUAGGCGGCUUUCUAAGUCAGGGGUGAAAUCCUGGAGCUCAACUCCAGAACUGCCUUUGAUACUGGAGAGCUUGAGUCCGGGAGAGGUGAGUGGAACUCCGAGUGUAGAGGUGAAAUUCGUAGAUAUUGGGAAGAACACCGGUGGCGAAGGCGGCUCUCUGGACCGAGACUGACGCUGAGGCGCGAAAGCGUGGGGAGCAAACAGG
rnacentral:rRNA from 1 species